rnacentral:rRNA from 1 species
CGCGUAGGCGGGCCAUCAAGUCCGGGGUGAAAUCCUCCGGCUUAACCGGAGAAUUGCCUUGGAUACUGGUGGUCUUGAGGGAAGUAGGGGUCUGCGGAACUUCCGGUGGAGCGGUGAAAUGUGUUGAUAUCGGAAGGAACGCCGGUGGCGAAAGCGGCGGACUGGGCUUCUUCUGACGCUGAGGCGCGAAAGCUAGGGGAGCAAAACGG